rnacentral:rRNA from 1 species
AAUCAACGCUGGCGGCGUGCCUCAGACAUGCAAGUCGAACGAUUAAAGCUCUCUUCGGAGAGUGUAUAGAGUGGCGCACGGGUGAGUAACACGUAAGUAAUCUACCUUUGAGUGGGGAAUAACGUCCGGAAACGGACGCUAAUACCGCAUAAUGCAGCGGCAUCGCAAGAUGACAGUUGUUAAAGAUUUAUCGCUUGAAGAGGAGCUUGCGGCAGAUUAGCUAGUUGGUAAGGUAAUGGCUUACCAAGGCUACGAUCUGUAACCGGUCUAAGAGGACGGUCGGUCACACUGACACUGAAUAACGGGUCAGACUCCUACGGGAGGCAGCAGUCGGGAAUUUUGGGCAAUGGGCGAAAGCCUGACCCAGCAACGCCGCGUGAAGGANGAAGUAUUCGGUAUGUAAACUUCGAAAGAAUGGGAAGAAUAAAUGACGGUACCAUUUAUAAGGUCCGGCUAACUACGUGCCAGCCGCCGCCGUAA